AAAUAGGAUUUACGUUUUGGGUGAUUUCAAGAGUUUUGUAAUAGAUCUACAGAUGAAGUUUUGUGGGUUUAUGGUUAUAGUUGUGUUUAAUAUGUGUCGUGAAUUUGAGCUUGAUCUAACGGUUGAAUUGAGGAAUAUUGAGGUUUAAGUGGGUCAAGGUCUCAGAAAGUAGAAUUUUAGGUCUAGUGGGGGUUUUUGAGAUUUCUUGCAAUCUAUUGGUUGAAUUGGAGUGAAACUUACGUGAGAGGAUAUUAGACUUGUUUUUCUUUGCGUAUGAGAAUUUUGAGAUCAAUUGAAAGGUGCAAAAGAGAGAUAUUGGCUCUAGAAGAUUGGCAUUAAAAUUGGAGAAGGAGGCCGACCAAUAUCCGAGCACAUUUUUGAGGAUAUUGUCAAUUUGGUAACUCCGAUCCUUAUCAAAUUUUUUGUUUGUUUUUAACUUAUUUUUUUAAAAGUGUGUAAAAUUUUAGUUAAGAUUAAAAGUUUAUUCAUUAGUUAUUGAGGUUUAAAUCUGUUGUAGGAAUUAUUAGGAUUUGAUUUAGGGUUUAGAGUUUGGAUUAGGAUUUGAUUUAGGGUUUAAGAUUUAGGGUUUGGAUUAAGAUUUGGUUAGGGAUUAAGGUUUGAUUAGGAUUUGAUUUAAGAUUUAGGGUUUGUCUAGGAUUUGAUUAAGGUUGGAUUAAGAUUAGGAUUUGGUUAGAAUUUAAGGUUCUAUUAGAUUUUUGUUAGGAUUUGACUAAGUUUUCUUUAAUAUUCUUUUAUAUUUCUUUAGGAUUUCCUUGUGUUCCUUUCAUAACUUCAAUAAAAUUUAAUUGAGCUUGCUUAAUAUUUGAUUAUGAUUAUUAAAGUUUAAUUUUAAAUUCUCUAUAAUCCUAUUGGAUUGUUAGGACCUUUUGUUGCAAUUUUCUUUUACCUUCCACAGCCAGGUGCUCGGUGCAUUCU
rnacentral:lncRNA from 1 species